GUGCUUCAGAUGGGUGAGCGCAGCAAGAUGGCACCACAGCCCCAACUCCUCGUCUUCCUGGUGCUCUGGGUAUCAGGUGCCUGUGGGGACAUUGUGAUGACCCAAUCUCCGGACAACCUGGCUGUGUCUGUAAGAGAGAGGGUCACCGUCAGCUGCAAAUCUAGCCAGAGUCUUUUAUCCAGUUCCGACAAUAAAAACUACUUAGCCUGGUACCAGCAGAAACCAGGACAGGCUCCAAAGCUGCUCAUCUACUUGGCAUCCACCCGGGCAUCUGGAGUCCCUGAUCGAUUCAGUGGCAGUGGGUCUGGGACAGAUUUCACUCUCACCAUCAGCAGCCUCCAGGCUGAAGAUGCGGCAGUUUAUUACUGUGACCAGCAUUAUAGCCAUCCUCCCACAGUGCUUCAGCCUCGAACACAAACCUCCUCUGUAGGUCUGCCUGUCA